rnacentral:rRNA from 1 species
AUUGAACGCUGGCGGCAUGCCUUACACAUGCAAGUCGAACGGUAGAGUAGCAAUACUUGAGAGUGGCGAACGGGUGAGUAAUAUAUCGGAACGUGCCCAGUCGUGGGGGAUAACGUAGAGAAAUUUACGCUAAUACCGCAUACGAUCUAAGGAUGAAAGCGGGGGAUUCGCAAGAACCUCGCGCGAUUGGAGCGGCUGAUAUCAGAUUAGGUUGUUGGUGAGGUAAAAGCUCACCAAGCCGACGAUCUGUAGCUGGUUUGAGAGAACGACCAGCCACACUGGGACUGAGACACGGCCCAGACUCCUACGGGAGGCAGCAGUGGGGAAUUUUGGACAAUGGGCGAAAGCCUGAUCCAGCAAUGCCGCGUGCAGGAAGAAGGCCUGG